rnacentral:lncRNA from 1 species
GUCUCAUCCAGUUCUGGGCGGACCCAGGCAGGAGUUUCCUCGAAGGAUUAGACAUCCUAGUUCUGCAACAGGCCGCCAGGUCGAGGGUACGCUAAGAAGAAGCUGAAAGCCACCCUACUGUCCCCCAGAGGCAGGAAGCAGAGGCAGAGGCAGAGGCAGGAAGGUCACCGAGAAUUUGAGACCAGCCUGGGCUAAGAAGUGAGUUCAAGGCCAGCCUGAACUGCAUUUCAGGAUCUCAAUAUGUAGUCCAGGCUGGCCUAAAAUUCACGAUCUCCUGCCUCAGCCUCCCAG